AGGCCAUGAUGAGGACAUAGUCUCAUCAUAUCCUUGUAUCGUUCCCAAGCUUUCGAAAAGUGAUUCUCACUCCGUCUUUCUGAACUUGGUUAUGUGAUUCUUUAGCAA